rnacentral:rRNA from 1 species
GUCUACAGCCAUACCACCCUAAACCUGCCCAACCUCAUAUGGUCUUGAAAGCUAAGCAGGGUCCGGCCUGGUUGGUAUUUGGAUGAAAAACAAAUCUUCAGAAGCGAAUGCUCAGAGACAGUUUGGAGACA